rnacentral:rRNA from 1 species
UACGUAGGGUGCGAGCGUUGUCCGGAAUUAUUGGGCGUAAAGGGCUCGUAGGCGGUUUGUCGCGUCGGGAGUGAAAACACCGGGCUUAACUCGGUGCUGGCUUUCGAUACGGGCAGACUAGAGGCAUGCAGGGGAGAACGGAAUUCCUGGUGUAGCGGUGAAAUGCGCAGAUAUCAGGAGGAACACCGGUGGCGAAGGCGGGUCUCUGGGCCGAAACUGACGCUGAGGAGCGAAAGCGUGGGGAGCGAACAGG